GAGAACUCAGAGGUUGUAUAGGUGUUGUGAUUAAUGGUCUCACAAGACCUUUGGCUUGGGAUCUCAUUUCCUUAUCAAAGAAGAACAAUACCGAGAAGAAGAGAUGUUAAAAACUUCUUGUCAAUACAGAGGUGACCAAGGCAAAUAGUCACCCAGAGAGAAGUGUGAUCAUAUCAAUACCUUCGUUGACGAAGGCAAAUAGUCAAAAGCUUCAUUUAUAAUUAUUCAUUAAGUAUCUUAUGCCAUUGUUAAUCAUUUCUUGAUUUUAAGUUCUGUGUUUUCUUUAUAGGAAAAUCUGUUUUCUAAUGAAAUUUGGCAAGUGGAAGCUACAUUAUAGAAAUUUUGUUUGACUAUUUUGAAUAGUGUCCAAAAGAUCGAGUAUGAGACACGAAAGACGUUACCAAGUCUUACUACUGUAAUUAUGAAGAUUUCUCGUUUCUAAUUCUAACUUUGUACGUUUGAUUUUCUUAAUUGCAAAUUUGCAAUUGGCCGAAUUGGAUAAUGUAAGUUACAGCAAAGUAA
rnacentral:lncRNA from 1 species